GCCCAAGAUAACGGUCACUCUGUCCCCCGACGCUGUCUCUGACUCAGGAAGCUACAAACAGCCGGACAACCCUGAUGUUGUGAUUGCUGAUGAAGAUGAGGAUGACUCCGAGUUUGGAGCCAUCAAAAGAGAAACUGCAGUUCUGAGAUCAUAUCGGAAAGCCCCUCCACCCAAAAACAGAAACCGCUCCUCUGCAGCGUUCAGGCGGAAAAAUGCCCAGCAGUCCACAGCAAAUCUUAUCAGUGAGGAUACAGAAUCAGAGCCCCUUCUAACUCCGGAUGACAAAAGACACCAAAAGAAGGAGGAUGCUGUGAACAGUUCAGACAAGACAGAUCAAGAGCCAGAUCAAAGUAAAAAAAAGAUUCUAGUGCCCAAAGAACGAUCUCGCUCAAAGACUCCUGAAAAACUAGACUCUAAAAAUUCCUCAGAAAAAAGUGCUCCAAAAACUGUCUCUGAAAAGCCAGGUUCCAAGACAUUUGAUAAAAAUGGUUCCAAGACCCCAAACGGUACAGGUUCAAAGACUCCAGACACACCAGGAUCCAAAACUCCAGAUAAAUCUGGAUCCAAAACUCCAGAUAAGGCAGGUUCCAAAACUCCAGAUAAGGCAGGUUCCAAAACUCCCAUCAAAGAACGUUCGAAAACACCAGACCGAUCUGGUAGUAAAACUCCUGAAGAAAAAUUGAACAUUGGGAAUAGCAGGGAUCCUGACUCCCAGCCUAGUGCUGCCUCUCCAUUGGGAGGGAAUAUAUUCGCCCAAAUAGACCCCACACCAUAUCACCACUGACAGAAUCUCUGAUAUAACACAAUAUAGACUUGUAUUUCUCUGCAUCAGCUACCUGUCCGUGUCACUUCCUCUGCUCUACUCACCAGGAAAUGUCUUCCAAAUUCACGGCCAGGACCAUUCAUUAACAGUGUUAUAAAAAAUCCUCAGUAACAUUUCCCAUCCUGAUUAUAUCAAUAUUAGUGAUGGAAAAAAGGUUUUCAUGUUGGCUUCAUGUUGGUUAAAAGAUGUGACUGCAGUGAAAGGAACUGAGUACUUGUAAAAUGUUUGAAUUGUGACAGAUGCUAGUUUGGGACUUUGAGUGUAUGCGGUGUGAACAACUUCACUUGGCUUCUGAUGACUAGGCAAUACAUGCUUUAAUCUGUAAACUGUGUGAAUGCUCGUGUAGAAUGAUGUAGAUUUUAAUAUAUGGCUCAAACAAUGUGCAAUAACACAGUAAUUAUUCACUGAAUGAUUAUGCAACAAUCACACACUUAUCUGAUUAUCACUGCUUAGCUUUUUAUGUUUUCAAUUUUUGAGCAAACAGAUGUUACUAAUAUUUUACUACAAUAAAUUGUUUUAAAAUGAC
rnacentral:misc_RNA from 1 species